rnacentral:rRNA from 1 species
CCUACGGGAGGCAGCAGUAAGGAAUAUUGGUCAAUGGACGCAAGUCUGAACCAGCCAUGCCGCGUGAAGGAUGAAUGCCCUCUGGGUUGUAAACUUCUUUUAUAGGGGACGAAAAAGGGUCUUUUAGAUCAACUGACGGUACCCUAGGAAUAAGCACCGGCUAACUCCGUGCCAGCAGCCGCGGUAAUACGGAGGGUGCAAGCGUUAUCCGGAUUUACUGGGUUUAAAGGGUGCGUAGGUGGGUUGGUAAGUCAGCGGUGAAAUCUUCGAGCUUAACUCGGAAACUGCCAUUGGUACUAUCAGCCUUGAAUAUCCUGGAGGUGAGCGGAAUAUGUCAUGUAGCGGUGAAAUGCUUAGAUAUGACAUAGAACACCAAUUGCGAAGGCAGCUCACUACGGGAUUAUUGACACUGAGGCACGAAAGCGUGGGGAUCAAACAGGAUUAGAUACCCUGGUAGUCCACGCCCUAAACGAUGGAUACUCGACAUUUGCGAUAUACAGUAAGUGUNUGAGNGAAGACAUAAUAUCCACCUGGAGUACGANCGCAGAGUAGAACGUACGAAAGAAGUUAGACGGCGUGAGACGUGACCGACGGACGACGACGAGGGAGGAGG